AUGCUGGGACCAUCCACGGAGAAGCGGGGGUGCAGAUUCGGGCCCACGGCUCCCGCCGCGUCCGCCAUCCGCGGGUGCAGGGUUAGGGGUGCGAGUGCAGGGAGCACGCGGGGCCUCGAGCCACCCGACCCGGCCGCGUCCCUGGGCGAGCGGCGUCCCCUCUGCCGGCGGAGCGGGCGCUGCGGCCUUGGGCGAGCACCGCCGACGGGAUCACGGCUGCGUGAACACGUCUCGCUCCUCACCUGCGUCGAGCCAUGCUUGGGCGGGGGCGGGAGCAGGGGGCUGAGCGGGGCCCCCAGCGGCGCAGAUCCCAGGGAGACAGCGUCUGCAGUGUCCAGGCCGAUGCCCGAUGGGCGGGAGCCCCGUCCCCUCUGGGCGUGGACCCCGUACCCGGGGGGCCCACCUGUGCCCCGGCCCUGCACCCAGAGCAGGUGCCCCUCGGCCAGCGCGGAAGGCAGGUGUUCCAGGUGCAGAAGGAGGAACGCACCCCCCCAUCCGGGCCUCCUGGGCCGUGCUGGGAGACUGCGAGGCACCGAGGCCUCUGCGGAUCCACUGCGGGGGGCUCUGGGCCCCCAAGGCGGGCGCUGGGUUACCUGGGCCCCCAGCAGGACCCCCACCCGCGCUGGCUGGAUCCGGAGCCCCAUCCCACCCGCACCCUCAGGGCUGCCGUCGGUGCCUGUGGGCCCUGCCACCCCCUCCCCAGGCAGCUCGCCUGGGAUCCAGGUCCCCCCGGGGGGUGGGGGCUCCUCCUGGGGGAGAGGGUGCUGGGGAGCAGGACACCCCCCAGCCCCGCUGUGCAGCCUGGCCUGGGCCUCUGUCCUGAGCGGCCCCUCCCUCCCCGCUGGCCGCCCCGUCAGAGGCCUGGGGUCGGGGGCAAGGCUGCCGGAGGGUCCCCACCGAGCAAAUCUGCGAGCGCAGGUGUGGGGGCCCCCGCGGCUCCGCCUCCAGCUCCCACUGGCGCUCAGCACGACGGGGGCGGGCAGGCACCCGGUCUGCGCCCGCUGCACGCACAGCACCCAGGCAGGGCCAGCGGAUGCACAGCUGGAGAGCGGGAGCCCUGAGCCCCGGACGCUGGGGGCGGGCACCACGGAGCGGGGCGCGGUCAGGCCUCACCUGCUGACGGGGCCCAGCGGGAGGCCUUCCUGGAGGAGGCUGCCCUGGGCAGGGUGGGCGGCCCGUGCUGAGGUCUCGGUGGAGGUGGCCCCACGGCUCCGGGCCUGCCCGCGGGGUUGGCGCCCCAGGGCCUGUGCCAGCAGCCGGCAGGAGGUGAACACAAACCAGUUCCAAGCAAAUGUCGAGCCGAGCGGGCAGUGA
rnacentral:lncRNA from 1 species